UACGUAGGGGGCAAGCGUUGUCCGGAUUCAUUGGGCGUAAAGGGCGCGUAGGCGGCCAUGCGUGUCUUCCGUGAAAUCCCUCGGCUUAACUGAGGACGUGCGGAAGAAACUGCAAGGCUCGAGUCCGGAAGAGGAGAGCGGAAUUCCUGGUGUAGCGGUGGAAUGCGCAGAUAUCAGGAAGAACACCCGUGGCGAAGGCGGCUCUCUGGGACGGUACUGACGCUGAGACGCGAAAGCGUGGGGAGCGAACAGG
rnacentral:rRNA from 1 species